AUAAUACUCCCUUCGUCCGGAAUUACUUAUCAUCAAAAUGGAUGUGUCUAGAACUAAAAUACAUCUAGAUACAUCCAUUUCAAUGACAAGUAUUUUCGGAUGGAGGGAGUAGUAG
rnacentral:pre_miRNA from 1 species